AAAACAUUAGGACUGUCGGUCUACCGAGCAAUAUCACCCGCUCGGUGGAAGAUCUUUCUUUUCGUCGU
rnacentral:pre_miRNA from 1 species